CACGUAGGGCGCAAGCGUUGUCCGGAAUUAUCGGGCGUAAAGAGCUCGUAGGCGGUCUGUUGCGUCCGCUGUGAAAACUCGGGGCUUAACCCCGAGCCUGCAGUGGAUACGGGCAGACUAGAGGUAGGUAGGGGAGAAUGGAAUUCCCGGUGUAGCGGUGAAAUGCGUAGAUAUCGGAAGGAACACCUGUGGCGAAAGCGGCUCACUGGACCAUUACUGACGCUGAUGCACGAAAGCUAGGGGAGCAAACAGG
rnacentral:rRNA from 1 species